UCGUCCGUGAUCCACGAGUACAUAUAUUAUAUCAAUAUUAUUAAAUGCGCUGUGUCUAAUGCGUCGCUCGUGAAGUCACAUAAUGUUUUCUGGAAAAUUAGAAAAAAAAGGGUAUUUAGGAAAUUUGGCGCCAAUUAUAAUCGGUUUAAUAAAUUUAACUAAUAUUUUAUUAAAAUUUAAAAUAACUUAUAAUUUUGAUAAUUUUAUAAAAUAUAAUUUUGUUCUAUAAAAUUAAAAAAAUCAAUGUUGAUUUAGAAAUGCUUUUUUAUAAAUUUAAUAACUGUUUAUUAAUUCAAUGUAUAUAUAUUUUUUAAAUUAAUCAUUGUGUGUAUAAUUAAUAUCAAUUUACCGGUGGUAUUUAUUGAUUUUACUUAUAAACUUUGUGAACUUAACAAUAUAUUUUUCAGACUAAAAAAAUAAUUAUUAUUUUAACAUAGAAUUAUUAUUUAUUAAAAAUUAAAAAUUAUAUGAAUUUUUAUUCAGUGUAGAUGUUACUUAUCGUUAAAGUAUACCUAUACCGGCUAUAAUACGCCUAUACCUAAUUCCGAAUUGCGAACAAUGAUCUACACCAGUACAGUCUACACAUUAUUCGUUGUUCGCUAGAAGAUACAAUUAUUAAAGGAUAACCUCAAGACUUAUUUCCAUUAUAACAUAAAAUAAUUAAAGAAGAAUAUAAAUUGUAUUUUUUAUUUUAAUGUUACUUCACAUUUAACCAUUAAUUUAAAUCUUUAAAUCUACUAUUUAAAAUUAAUAUCAUAUUUGUUUCGUUUUAUUAUUAUUCCAUGUUUUUUUUAUGUAUUCAACUUUUAAGACUAAUAAAAACACAACAACUGUGAUACCAUUAAAAGUCAUCAUAUCACAUUGGGCUGCUUUUCAAUAUCAUAGAAAAAAUUACAUUCGUUACAUAAUGUUUAAUAAGAAAAAAAAUCAAUAUGACUGUGCUCCAUUAAAAUAUUUAAGUGUUAACCUUAGUCAUUGAUUAAAAUGUUUUUUCGUUAUUGGUUUUAUAACAUAAAAUUUAGUCGGCGUGUUUUUUCGGGUUAAAUUGAAAAUGCGCCAUAUAAAAAGCAAUUUGAGGACGAAGGAGAGACUUGCUUGCCAUUAUAGACAUGCCGUAGAUAGCACUUGUUGCACACAUUUUUUUAAAUUGUUUUCAUUUUAUGUGUUUUUAAAAGUUAUUAAGUGUUAUUAUUAGUACACAAACGUGCUUGAAAGUCAUCUGAAAUGGAGAUGUGCGUGCGUGUUUGUGUUUAUGUGAGUGUUAACAUCCGCUUAAAAAUAUUCUAUGUAUUCAAUUAUUGCGAUAAUUAUUUUUAUUGUUUUAUAAAUUAUUAACAAUAACAUUCUAACUCUAUGGUCUCUAUGUACCUAUAGUCCUAUACUCUAUCCGAGUUGGAAGAACAGAUUGCACUCCGAGAAACAUUAUAUUGAAAAAUAAAAAAUAAAACACUCGAUUAUCUUUAAAAUUUACGACGAUGUGUUCAAAAAUUAUUUUGUUAGAAACGUGUGUUCAGGCUGCGGUGUACUAUAUACAGCACGAACACAACGUGCUGUAGAGCGCGUUUGACGCAUGGGACCCUAGUAGCAUUAUUCACAAAAUGUGACAUAACUCCGGCUUGACUUGACUUCAAGUCGGCUACAGACCGUCGGCUUCGGACAGCUAUGACUCUGUGCUAGUCUUAUGACUCGUUUUUGAUGCCAAGUGAAAAAACCUCCGAAAACCUCAACAAUAUUUUACAAUAAAAUUAUGAAAAUAAAUGAAACACUGCCCUGGGCGCGACUAGAUGCUCAUGAUGUCCUGGUACUCGGAAAGUGGUUGUUUCAUUUUCGUACUGUCGCCCACGCUAUCCUUUUCCUUUUUAGGUCCUUCAGUACGUAUUAUAUUUCACCCAUCUCCAGACACCAACCGCACACGGUACAUGCGGUUACGGUUCGUGAACAAUAAUAUUAUUAUUAUUAUUAUUCGUACUCAAAUUUCUCGACGCGAAGUAAAAUAUUUUGUUGUGUUUUCCAUAGUUACACACGUUUUUUUUUUUAACUGAACAAUUUCAAAGUUUUGCACGUUGUUUGUUCUAGGUUUUUACGUCUACGGUAAUCUAACUUAUAAGGUUUUAACAUUCUUUUAUACUCUAGUUUACAUAAUAAAUGCACUUAUAAAUCAUAAUACUAGAACUGUGUAGUCAUGUAGACUAAUAGUUUCCAUAUGUACGUACAACGUAUUUCUCAUACAAAAUAUUUACUAUUUAUUUUCAAUUUUUAUACUUGCGUGUCGAUAUGAGUAAGGGAACAUUUGGUAAGUUAAAAAAUGGAACGAAUUUUAACGAAAUUAAAUGCUUUACUAACAAUAACAAUCAUGGACCAUAAUAAUAACACAACAAAAUUACGAAAAUCGUCAUCGUCAGCGAUUUGACGGCAGCAAUCAAAAACAAAACCGAUUUAUUUGGGUUCCGCUGUUGCAUUACGUUACUUUCGAGAAAAUCAUUACCAGGGCUGCAUGAAUACGGCAACGUAUUAAAAAUCUGUUAGAUUAAUAUUACUACUGAUUCAUAACUGUGAUUCCACAGCCACUGGGCGCUUAUUGCUUAACAAAAUUAUAUUAUUAAGAUAGUAAUUUCCUGGUUAGAGUGAAUUGACCUAUUAUCAAAUUUGAGGGCAAGAACAUUUAUCUGGGUCUGUACGUUGGUUUCUUACAAUAUUUUAGUUUUAAGAUAGUGUUAUAAGCAUUUUUAAUUGCAAUACUUCGUAUGAAUUAUGUUGAAGGUUAUUGCGAGUUGAACAACGAAAAAACAACGCGUAAACACAGAUAAAAUAUGUUCUUUGCUCAAGUCAAUUUACUAUUACAUGUUAAACUAAAUAUACCUAAACAUAUAGACAGAGGUAGAAUGCAAAAUAUACUUAAAUUUGAAUAGAUACUGAAUUUAACUAAUGAAUUAUUAACAUUAUUUUUUAAUCAGAAAUAAUAAUAAUAAUUUAUUUAAAAUCAAACUUUUUUACAGAAUAAAAACAAUCAAUCUUAAUGUUUUUAAAUAAUUGUAUUAGUAAUUAGUAUAUUUCAGGCUGAAAUAAUUGCUGACAUUUUUAGCAUCGAAUACCAGGUACGAUUAUUUCAAUUAUAGUAAAUACAAUAUAUAAAGUAUCUUAAAAUAUUUUUUAAGUUCUAGGUUCUAUGCUAUUUCCUAUGCUUGACGAGUUUUUAACUAUUCUAUGACAAUUAAUAUUCAUGAAAGUCGUUAUAACGAUAAGACGUUAUGCUUACAAAAAUUAAGUUUUUUUUUUACAAAUGAUGUUUACUUUGCAGUUCACAGUGUCAUAUUUUAUAAUCCAUAAUCGGCAUGUAAUCGACAAAAAAAAUAUGAUAUAUAUUUGUUUAUCAUCGCUAUUGGUCGUGACUCAUGACCCAAGCUCUCUAAACUUUCCUAGUAUCUCGAAAAAACAAUAUUCAAGAGUUCCUGAUAAAAGUAUAAAAAACUACGACCAUACACAAAUUUAUGUAAUAGCAUAGUUGUAGCGAUGAAUUUCCCUUCGAUCUAUACAGUAAGCCGAACACUCGCACACGGUGGAUACGCCGACCUAGAGGCCUAUAGACCGAGAAAUCGACGGACCACUGACCUAGGUAAUAGAUAUCAACUCGGCUCGGUCUGAUUUCGCAAUCGUGUCGACGUUAUGUCACGUCCGUAGAAAUCAGUACCAGGACCGUAUGCAGUGGUGUGCCUGGUGUACAUCGAGUAACUACACCAACAUUGUAGUUGAAUAUUAUUGUGAAUUACUGAAUAAUAUCUUUAAGUAUAUUAUAAAUAAUUAUAAUAAAAUCUAAUAUUCUAGACUUAAUAGACGUAUAAUAGCCGAAAAUAUAUCAGCAGACCCGUAUUCUUAUCGAAUAAUAUUUCAGCUGAUUAAUAAUUGGUUGGACAAGUAAAUUAGCUACACGAGUACUUUAGCCGACAAAUAUUUGCUCUGGCAUAUUUUUUUUAAUUAUAAUAGUAAUUGUCAAUUGAGUAAUAUAAUUUGUAAGUUUGUAACCAAUGGCAACCAAUCACGCAUAAAUAAAAAAUAUUCUAUUUUAGUGAACCAAAACUAAAAUUAUGUGCGACACACUAUAAUAUUAUAGUAUAUACCUUUGGCGGUUAGAAAAAUUAACUAGAAACACGGAGGGUUAUUCGAUUAUAAUAUAAACAUUUUCAAUUUUUUUUUCAAGUAUUUAACAUGCCAUCCUUACAUAAACAAACAUGACUAUACUGACUUGAAAUUCACACAAUUUUCCUUUUCCUGCUAAAACAAAAUUACACAAAGUGUUGAGAAGUACAGAUUUCUAUAACAUAAAUCAUAAUAAUCAACAUAUUUUUUUGACAAAUUUUACUCUGCGGCUAUGUAUUUCCGUUAACAUUGCAAGCUUAACUUUGAAAUUCGCAAUUAUUAAAAAUGUAUAUACCUACACAGUACACAGCCAACUACAGUAACUGUCGCCAGCCCCAUUAUUCAAUAAUACAAUAAUUUCACAUUUUUGAAUUUUUUUUACGCAAAUAAUAUUCAAUAAUGUAUCUUAUGUUGACGUUACCGUUAUUAUUCUAGCCUUGUUUUGUGGUUAAUCUAACCCACAAAACUUUCGUUAAAAUGACGUAAAUUUAAAAAUACAUAUACAUGGAAACUGAGAGCAAUAUGUUAGCCCCAUUGGAUUAAAAAUGUAAUUUUAAAUUUAAAACAAUAUCUCUUUACAUCGACUUUUACCUUAAUUGAGUUAAUUAAUUUUAAUAAAUUAUAUUUUUGAUCGAGAAAUAUUUUAUUACUUAGUGAUUUUGAAUAAUUAUGUUAUUAAUAAAAAUUAAGGAACUUACAUUCCUUUAAUAUUUUCAAAAUUCUUGUUGGACAAUGGACAUAGGUAUGGAUUAAUUUCAUAUAAUGGACAAAAAUUUGAUAUAAGUACCUAUGUCUAUACGAACCGUCACAAAGAUAGGUACUAAAUUAUUCCAUAAUAUUAUUUACACGAAUUCGUUUAAAAUAAUAUAUUUUAUCAAUAUAAUCAUCAUUCUCGUAUUGCAUAUUUGUUAACUAUUUAAAAUAUUCAAUUGAGAUAAUAUAACAAUUAUUGCACGCAAAAUAUCGAAUUAUUGUACUAAUUUCGAAUUUAAUAAAUUUACUACAAACUUAAACCUACUAUUUUUCUUUAAACAGUUGAAAGAUAUUAUGUUUGUACAAAAUUGUAUAUACCUAUACAUUAAAUAUAAAUACAUUUAGAAUUUAGAUACAAAUAUUUCGCAAUUAAUACUUUGAUUUGUAAUUAAUAAUAACUAUGUCAAUACUGUCGAAUAUUUGAAUGUCCAUGUUAUUAUUGUUAUUAUUAAUUGUUUUAGUGUCUAUCAAUUUAAUAAUAAAAGAUUAAUUGCUCUAUAUAGUACAUCUGAACAAAAAUCAAACGCAUCACUAUAGUUAGUGGUAUAAGAAUAAAAUUGCUAUUUGCUGAGCUUCUCAGUGCAUACCUAAAUGUCAUAACGAUAAUGAUAUAAUAUAUAUUUUAUCUAGUAACUUAUAAGUUAGUUAAUUAUUAAUAUGUAACAUUUGAAUUAUGGUAGAACUAAAUAAUAAUUGCGUAAUACUAUAUAGUAAUUACCUAAUUACUAUAAGAAUAUCAUACCUGUAAGAAGAUCAUAAGUAAACGUAUGAUUUCAAUUGGUAAAUCGCUGUUUAUAAUAAAUAACAUGCAUUUACGUGUACAUGAAAAAAAUAUAGUACGGCAAAACUAUUAAUCUGAAACUAUGUAAGUACAUACGAGUACAUCCGGUUAAUGUAUAGUGAUUACUACAUAAGUAUGUAAUAUAUUAGAUAUUUAAGUUUAUAAUAUGUACAUUGUACUCAGUACUCACACAAGUUUAUUAGUAAUCAACAUUUUGACAGACGCGUUUAGAUGUGUGUGCAUUUUAUUGACUACCUAUUAGUAACAUUAUUUCAACAACUAAAUCUAGAGAUUAUAUAGUAUAUAUAUGUAUGAUUUAUGUCGAAUAUAGUAUUUAAACAUUGAUCGUAA